rnacentral:rRNA from 1 species
CGUCACCGGGCAUUGCUCAGUACGGCGAGUGAGCGGCAAGAGCUCAAAUUUGAAAGCUGGCUCCUUCGGGGUCCGCAUUGUAAUUUGCAGAGGAUGCUUCGGGUGCGGCCCCUGUCUAAGUGCCCUGGAACGGGCCGUCAGAGAGGGUGAGAAUCCCGUCUGGGAUGGGGUGUCCGCGCCCGUGUGAAGCUCCUUCGACGAGUCGAGUUGUUUGGGAAUGCAGCUCUAAAUGGGUGGUAAAUUUCAUCUAAAGCUAAAUACUGGCCGGAGACCGAUAGCGCACAAGUAGAGUGAUCGAAAGAUGAAAAGCACUUUGAAAAGAGAGUUAAAAAGCACGUGAAAUUGUUGAAAGGGAAGCGCUUGCGACCAGACUCGCCUCCAGGGUUCAGCCGGCAUUCGUGCCGGUGUACUUCCCUGGGGGCGGGCCAGCGUCGGUUUGGGCGGCCGGUCAAAGGCUCCCGGAAUGUAGUGCCCUCCGGGGCACCUUAUAGCCGGGAGUGCAAUGCGGCCAGCCUGGACCGAGGAACGCGCUUCGGCACGGACGCUGGCAUAAUGGUCGUAAACGACCCGUCUUGAACCACGGACCAAAAAAGG